GACGAACGCUGGCGGCGCGCUUAACACAUGCAAGUCGAGCGAUGAAAUCUUGACAGAACCCUUCGGGGCGAAGAUAAGAUGGAUUAGCGGCGGACGGGUGAGUAACACGUGAGUAACCUGCCUUAGACAUUGGGAUAGCCUCGGGAAACCGGGAUUAAUACCAAAUGAAAUCACAUAUGCACAUGCAUAAAUGAUCAAAGCUCCGGCGGUCUAAGAUGGACUCGCGUCCCAUUAGCUAGUUGGUGAGGUAACGGCCCACCAAGGCGACGAUGGGUAGCCGGCCUGAGAGGGUGAACGGCCACAUUGGAACUGAGAAACGGUCCAAACUCCUACGGGAGGCAGCAGUGGGGAAUAUUGCACAAUGGAGGGAACUCUGAUGCAGCGACGCCGCGUGAACGAAGAAGGCUUUCGAGUCGUAAAGUUCUUUUAUAUGGGAAGAUAAUGACGGUACCAUAAGAAAAAGCCCCGGCUAACUACGUGCCAGCAGCCGCGGUAAUACGUAGGGGGCUAGCGUUGUCCGGAAUCACUGGGCGUAAAGGGUUCGCAGGCGGAAAUGCAAGUCAGGUGUAAAAGGCAGUAGCUUAACUACUGUAAGCAUUUGAAACUGCAUAUCUUGAGAAGAGUAGAGGUAAGUGGAAUUUUUAGUGUAGCGGUGAAAUGCGUAGAUAUUAAAAAGAAUACCGGUGGCGAAGGCGACUUACUGGGCUCAUUCUGACGCUGAGGAACGAAAGCGUGGGUAGCAAACAGG
rnacentral:rRNA from 1 species